CCAUUUUUGGGUAUCUAGUGGCUUCGUGAGAUUCGCCACUCAUAACUCAUAAGUCCUCCGCCUGUCUCGUCGGAGCCGACUCCGGAGGAAAGAGCCACGAGACUCAUCCCUUCUCCUCCUCGGGUAUGUACUAUCGUAGCAAGGCGGUGAUUUUCCUCUUGGACCGCCAGCUGAUAAAUGCAGCCGAUGGGCGGUGGAGGAUCCAUUGCAAGAAUUUGAGACUGAAACGCCAAAUAGGACUCAUUUAGGAUGAGUGUUCCUCGGCCGCCUCAAGUUCAUUUCAUAGGGCAGAGAGGCGGUUGAAGCAAGUGGUAACCAAGAGGUUCCCUUGCUUCAACUCCGUUAGCGCUUGGGUGAUGGUGAAAAGCUUUGCUCGGUCAAGGCGUCCGUACAUCUCCUCGAUGCUGUCCCAAAAUCGCUUCCCGUCUUCGGUUGGUGGAAGCCCAACUGCGGCGUCGGGGGCGAGACAAUUGCCAAUCCAGGUACGUAUUAACUGAUUGCAUCCUCAUCAGUGUCUCUAAUUGCGUUCAUCUGUCGGAAAGGGGACGGCUCCAUCAAGGAAGCCAUCCUUAUCUUUGGUGAUGAGCACCCGACAGAGAUCUCGAGCCUUGGUGGUAUAAUUGUUCGGUCCUGUGAGGUGGAGGUUGAUGAGGCGAAGUUCCGGUCCGACGGCUGGCGAGGUAUAGAGAGGAUCACCUGGUUUGGGGCGAUUGUUGCUGUUGACGGGGAAGGUGUACGGCAGGAAACCGAGCGGAUAGGCUGGGUAGGAAUUUGUCCCUUGACCCGGCAAAGAUCUGGGUUUGUGACUCGGAUUGGUUGUCUUGAAAUCAGUUGUCGGGUCACUCUCAUUCAACGACGGAGUUGGGUGGUUUACACUUGGCUGAUUUGCGAGCCCCAAAUAACUGGCUUCACCAGGUAGGUGCUGAACCCACGCUUGUCUGGGUCCAGUGCCCCAUUGGGUUUGGAUGGGAUACCACCGAACUGGAGGAAACAUGGUGGCCAUUGAAUGGGGCCGGAGAUCUGACCCGAAGCAGGAAGAAACAUGGUGGCCAUUGAAUGGGGCCGGAGAUCUGACCCGAAGCAGGAAGUUGCCCUUGAAUGGCUACUCGUUCCUCCUCGGGUAGGUUGGUAAUAUCUGACGGUAAUAAGUUAGGAUUAUGGGGAUUCUCCUUUAUUGAAGAACUCUCGAUGUUCUUAUCUUUUGUCAUGGUAAGAAUGAAUUCCUAAUUGCUUGGCUGA